GAGGCCCGGAGCCGUUCACAGUUUGAGGCGCCAGAUGCUGCUCCCUGGUGGCCGGAGGGCGUAACUGCCGCGGCUAAAGGGCGUCCCGGUGUACACACGGCGGGCCCGGUCCCGCCACACAUGCCGUGCUUUUUGAACACCCGCCGUGGGCUAAGCAUGGGACCCACGUGGGGUGAGGACACAUGGCGAUAAAGAGAGCCAGGCCCUUGCUGCCAAGGAGCUUUCCCGUAACACCGAUGCUUCAAACAAAAGGUAGUAAAAGUGCCUGGGUUUUUGCGUUGAAAUAUCUUUCCCUUCAACUGCUCACCAAGGUGCUUUUACUCCCUGUCACCACCGCUGCCUGCCAGAGGCAGUGACCUUGGGUCCAGCUGGCGCCUGUCAACCUACACAACCACACAGUGAGAGGCUGCCUAAAGAAAGGCGUUUAUUCAGGAGCAGAGCAUUGCAACGGUAAUACGCAUGUCAUAGUAAAAUGUGCAUAUUCGAGGAGGCAGAGGAAGAAAGGAAGAGGAAGGUUUUCAAAGAAAAAGAUGAUUUGCCUUGUGUAGCUCUUUAUGUUCUGAGAUGAGCAGAUGACAGAUUGGGAUGCUGGAGAUUUUGAAUGUGCACACCGCUGGGAAGACCACGCCAAUUGGCUUACACGCCGAAUUCAAGGAGGAUUUUGUAAAACUUUCCUGCUAAUUUGAAAGAGCUGCACCACAGAACACAGUAUAUGGUUCAAAGUACACAGUACGUAUUGGUGUGCCUGAUUGAGACUCAGGUGUACAAAGCCAUGAGCGAAGUUCAGAACUCCAGUGCUUCUCUGAGAUGAUGCCUCAGUGGAGCCUCUGGCCCUUCAGGAAAAGAAGUUGCUGCUCUCAGGAGCUCUUUCCAGUAGGCUCCCCCAGUCAGCUAGAGCAGUGGCCAUAAUCAAGGGGCACUCGUUCUGGUUCUGACUCAGACCAUACAGGCAGCAGUGAGGAUGCCAGAGUCCAUGGGUUUCUAGAACACAAGUUUUCAACUGCAGAUACAAACAUCAGGACGUCAAUGUAUCUGAUAGGAGACACCCGGACAGUGUUGAGAACACAGAACCUGGAGGCUAAACCCCCAGCUUUCUAUGCCAGCUGAGAGUCUGUGGGCACAUUACUCAGCGUCUCUGAACCUCAUGCUCCUCCCCUGUGACAUGUAGAUUGCUAAACCCAUCUCACAGGGCUGUCUUCUGCAUUUAAAGAAUAAAAUAACACAUGAGGGGUC